AUUUCCAGUGUUCUGGCAGCACAGCACUAAAGUACAAACUCUUAUUUUAGUGAUAGGAGUAGACAGCAAAAUUCCAGGACAGAGGGAACGAGAGGAAAUCCAGACACAAAUCCACAAAAAGAAUUUAGGCAUGAAUUAUUUCCACUAGUUUGAGAACAGCGUGUUACAGAAAAAAAAAAAACCAAGACAGCCUAUUCUGAAGGGCUCACAGUCCACCCAAAAGCAAAAUGCCACUCAGGGAAAGGAUGGGGAAAAUAGUUUAAAUUAAAAAUGUAGCAUUUUUCUGUGUUUCCAUCCAGCAGAAACUGUGCUCCCAGCAAUAUUAAGUGACUAGAAAGAGUAGGAGCUACACCCUCCUCUCAAAAUAACAUGCAAAAUGCCCCCAGCGCUUGUGCAGAGUGUGGUUUCAGUAGGAACUGCUGCGAAAAGGGGAUGAAAGCUGCCAAAUUUUCCAGCUCUGAAAACGCUGGAGAACUCGAGUCUCCUGGAAAAGCAGGAUCACCACAGGCUGUGAGGAAUAAAUCAGAUUUGUGACUCUCAUCCGCGCAGUAUUUGGACACUCCCCGAGGACCUCAAAGGUUUUGGCAAUGCGUUAACAGCAGGAAAACACACCCAAAAUAUUAAUAUUAAGCAAAUAUUAUUAUUGGGCACAUGUUAAUAUUCGUGAGGGCGUUUUAGAGUUGCUGACUUCAAGUAAUGCAGCGUGAAGGUGAUCACACAGAACCUCCUGGCUACAGCAGUGUGAAACCUUAAAACACCACUUUUUGGGGGGCGUCCACACCGCCCACAGAUCCCUCUCGGCGCACACGCGAGAGGCCAAGUGGAAGAGCCGGACAGCGUCGUACUUUCGCAGAGAGCAUUCCUGACCAAUCCCCAUCAUCUGAGUAACAGAAAACCCAAAUAUUACUUCUGCCACCAGAGAGAAUUCUAAGCACCAGAGAACUUUUUUACUCAAAGCAGCAACUAAUACCUUUAUUUAUUAACAAAUUAAACACAUUACUUAUUCCUGUCUUAUCUCAGCACACGGACUCCCAAAAUCCAGAGCCACAGAGUGCAAAACAGGACUCGGCUUUACCUUGCUUAUACCUGUGCCUGUGGUAAUCCUGAACGUCUCCAACUUCACUCCCAGGGAUAAUCUCCGACAGAUUUGCUCCUUUCUUUGUGAUCAGUCUCCAGCCCAUGACCUCUGCCCUGGGGUCAGGAGUCAAGAGCACAGCCUGGCCUGCACAUUUCGGGAGGGAGCUGGAGGCAUCUCCAGCCUGUUCCCCAGGGAUGACAGCCCACAGGGAGAGGUCAGGGCAGGGGGAGAUGUCAACUUUCCUGCGGAUCUUGUACAGUUUCAGGUGUUUCUGGAAGGGCUCCAGGACGUUGCUGUCGCACUCCAGCAGGAUGUGAGGCUCCUCUCCCGCGCUCCCGUGGAGCCUAAAAAAAGUAACACCUGCAAGGUCAGGAAAACAAACCCCCACAGCAGCGGGAGCCAAAACGCUUUGUCUGGAUCCUGGUGCGAAUCCAGAAGUCUGGGCAGUUUCAUGGAAGGCUGCUGGCACGCAUGGAGCAGGAAAUACCUGAUGUUUUCCAGCCUUCGGUUGUACUCUUUCCCAGCAAACACUGCCCUCAGCUCUCCCAGGGACAGGAACAGGGUGUGAGGAAUCCUCCACCCCUUCCCUAAAGUGAGGGGAAUUUCAGCAGGGGGAGAAGCCACGUUCAGCUGUGCCUUCCACUGGCACAGAAUCCCAGAAUGGUUUGGGUAGGAAGGGGCAAUAAAGAUGA